rnacentral:rRNA from 1 species
UGGGGAAUUGUUCGCAAUGGGCGCAAGCCUGACGACGCAACGCCGCGUGGAGGAUGAAGGUCUUCGGAUUGUAAACUCCUGUUGAUCGGGACGAAAAGCUUCGACCUAACACGUCGAGGACUGACGGUACCGGUUGAGGAAGCCCCGGCUAACUCUGUGCCAGCAGCCGCGGGAAUACAGAGGGGGCAAGCGUUGUCCGGAUUUACUGGGCGUACAGCGCGCGCAGGCGGCGCCGUAUGUGACUGGUGACAUUCGCGGGCUCAACCCGCGACGGCCCGGUUACACAGCGGUGCUGGAGGCAGGGAGAGGGAUGUGGAAUACCCGGUGGAGCGGUGAAAUGCGUAGAGAUCGGGUGGAACACCAGCGGCGAAGGCGGCAUCCUGGCCCUGACCUGACGCUGAGGCGCGAUAGCGUGGGGAGCAAA